CAGCCGCCACGGUAAUACGUAGGGUGCAAGCGUUAAUCGGAAUUACUGGGCGUAAAGCGUGCGCAGGCGGUUAUAUAAGUCAGAUGUAAAAUCCCCGGGCUCAACCUGGGAACUGCAUUUGAGACUGUAUGGCUAGAGUGUGUCAGAGGGGGGUAGAAUUCCACGUGUAGCAGUGAAAUGCGUAGAUAUGUGGAGGAAUACCGAUGGCGAAGGCAGCCCCCUGGGAUAACACUGACGCUCAUGCACGAAAGCGUGGGGAGCAAACAGGAUUAGAUACCCCCGUAGUCCCUGUCUCUUAUAA
rnacentral:rRNA from 1 species